CUUUAACUUGUCUGUGUUUCCCAGAGAAUGUGUUCUCAUUAUUUUGUCUGCUGUUUUGUACCUUUGGACAUUCCACCAAUGAUGAAAUUCAGACAGUUCUAUCAGAUUUCGCUUCAAAAAUUUUGGACCUUUGUUACUAGGUACAUAAACAUCUGAGGUGUUUAUUGGAGCUCUUUGCCUAGAACUGAUAAUUGGAUUCAUGGUAUUCUGGAGAACAAGGAAGAAAACUGAAGCCCAGAAAGCUUAAUAUAUUACCCAAAGAGUUAGUCCACAUUGAACUGGGAGUUAAUCCUUGUCUGUCUGGCUGGAAAGCUUUUGCUCUGUAUCUUGGAUGAAUAAACUAAACCUUAGGGAAUCUUCCUAGAAAAACCAUUGUCUUCUGUGGGAAAAGAAGAGAGUAUUUAUGAUACAUCAAGCAUCCACUACCUAGAAAAUUAUAGGGCUCCCAUUUGCUUCUGCUGUGAAAUGCCAAGAUCACAAACAUGACUUCAAGACCAUCCAUUAUCCACCUGUAGAUUGCUGUCAGGAAACCAUAUAACGCCUCCUGUACGAGAAGUUAAAUUACAACACAAAGAUUGCUUGGUGAGCAUGUGAUCAAAACAGGGCAAGAUGAAGACCUUUAGAGGCCACAAGCAUUUUAGUGUGCCUCCCAACUUCCCUUAUAUUAUUCAAAAUAUAAACAAUAAAAUCUACAAAGAUGUGAAAGAAGUCCAACAAAA
ensembl:lncRNA novel transcript